rnacentral:lncRNA from 1 species
GAUCAUUUCUGCAUGUUUACAGCAGCAAGAAGAGCCUGACAGCAAGAGAGAGGACAGAAAGUUAAUAAAUGACAGGAACAAGUAAAUCCUCAAAAAGAAGGAUCAUCUCAGGCCCCUUGGUGUAGGACCAGCAGCCUUAUAAGUGCUUCAGUGGAGACUGAGGACAGUGUUCUGGGGAAAUGUAGAGUAUUUAUGGAUGUUCACAUUGAGGACUAUGGCUUAUGAAAAAAGAAUAUAUAUUCAGAUUAGUCUGUUGAAAGAAGAAGGAAAUACAGAUGAGAAAACUGAGGAAGGCAGAGGCUAGUGACUUACUCAAGGUCACACAACUAGAGAGAAAUCAGUCUGCUCACCCUCUACCGUUCCCCUCAUAGACUGAAUUUGGAAAACUCUGAACAAUUAUAGUACGUGGCUCUGAGAUGGAGCUUCCCCCCAUCCCUUCCUAUGGUAAGCUAUAUUAGAUAUACAAAGGAAUAAACCUAUGCAACAUGGGCUUGGGUA